rnacentral:rRNA from 1 species
CCUACGGGACGCAGCAGUGGGGAAUAUUGCACAAUGGGCGCAAGCCUGAUGCAGCCAUGCCGCGUGUGUGAAGAAGGCCUCCGGGUCGUAAAGCACUUUCAGCGGGGAGGAAGGCGUUAAGGUUAAUAACCUUGGCGAUUGACGUUACCCGCAGAAGAAGCACCGGCUAACUCCGUGCCAGCAGCCGCAGUAAUACGGAGGGUGCAAGCGUCAAUCGGAAUUACUGGGCGUAAAGCGCACGCAGGCGGUCUGUCAAGUCGGAUGUGAAAUCCCCGGGCUCAACCUGGGAACUGCAUUCGAAACUGGCAGGCUAGAGUCUUGUAGAGGGGGGUAGAAUUCCAGGUGUAGCGGUGAAAUGCGUAGAGAUCUGGAGGAAUACCGGUGGCGAAGGCGGCCCCCUGGACAAAGACUGACGCUCAGGUGCGAAAGCGUGGGGAGCAAACAGGAUUAGAUACCCUCGUAGUC